UACAGAGGGUGCGAGCGUUAAUCGGAAUUACUGGGCGUAAAGCGCACGUAGGCGGCUUGGUAUGUCGGGUGUGAAAUCCCCGGGCUCAACCUGGGACGUGCAUUCGAUACUGUCGAGCUUGAAUGCGGGAGAGGGAAGCGGAAUUCCUGGUGUAGAGGUGAAAUUCGUAGAUAUCAGGAGGAACACCGGUGGCGAAAGCGGGUCUCUGGGCAACAACUGACGCUGAGGAGCGAAAGCGUGGGGAGCGAACAGG
rnacentral:rRNA from 1 species